rnacentral:rRNA from 1 species
GACGAACGCUGGCGGCGUGCUUAACACAUGCAAGUCGAACGGAAAGGCCCUGCUUUUGUGGGGUGCUCGAGUGGCGAACGGGUGAGUAACACGUGAGUAACCUGCCCUUGACUUUGGGAUAACUUCAGGAAACUGGGGCUAAUACCGGAUAGGAGCUCCUGCUGCAUGGUGGGGGUUGGAAAGUUUCGGCGGUUGGGGAUGGACUCGCGGCUUAUCAGCUUGUUGGUGGGGUAGUGGCUUACCAAGGCUUUGACGGGUAGCCGGCCUGAGAGGGUGACCGGCCACAUUGGGACUGAGAUACGGCCCAGACUCCUACGGGAGGCGGCAGUGGGGAAUAUUGCACAAUGGGCGGAAGCCUGAUGCAGCAACGCCGCGUGCGGGAUGACGGCCUUCGGGUUGUAAACCGCUUUCGCCUGUGACGAAGCGUGAGUGGCGGUAAUGGGUAAAGAAGCACCGGCUAACUACGUG